CACGUAGGGUGCGAGCGUUGUCCGGAAUUAUUGGGCGUAAAGAGCUCGUAGGCGGUGUGUCGCGUCGGCCGUGAAAACCUGCAGCUUAACUGUGGGCUUGCGGUCGAUACGGGCAUCACUGGAGUUCGGCAGGGGAGACUGGAAUUCCCGGUGUAGCGGUGAAAUGCGCAGAUAUCGGGAAGAACACCCGUGGCGAAGGCGGCUUUCUGGGACGGUACUGACGCUGAGACGCGAAAGCGUGGGGAGCGAACAGG
rnacentral:rRNA from 1 species